CCUACGGGAGGCAGCAGUGGGGAAUAUUGGGCAAUGGAGGCAACUCUGAUGCAGCAACGCCGCGUGAAUGAUGAAGGUCUUCGGAUUGUAAAGUUCUGUGAUGGGGGAUGAACACAAUGACGGUACCCCAAUAGCAAGCCACGGCUAACUACGUGCCAGCAGCCGCGGGAAUACGUAGGUGGCAAGCGUUAUCCGGAAUGACUGGGCGUAAAGGGUGCGGAGGUGGUUUAGUAAGUUGGCGGUGUAAUUCCGGGGCUCAACCUCGGCGCUACCGCCAAAACUAUUAGACUAGAGUGCAGGAGGGGUAAGGGGAAUUCCUAGUGUAGCGGUGGAAUGCGUAGAUAUUAGGAGGAACAUCAGGGGCGAAGGCGACCUACUGGACUGUAACUGACACUGAGGCACGAAAGCGUGGGGAGCAAACAGGAUUAGAUACCCUGGUAGUC
rnacentral:rRNA from 1 species